rnacentral:snRNA from 1 species
GUGCUCGCUUUGACAGCACAUAUACUAAAAUCGGAACGAUACAGAGACUAGCAUGAUCCCUGCACAAGGAUGAUACGCAAAUUUGUGAAUCAUUCCAUGUUUUA